AGGAAAAAAAAAAGCUUUGUCGACGAUUUCAAUCAUCCCCACCAUGCCGAUUGACGAUUCAGAAAGCAACAUCAAAACCAGUAAAAUCUUUACCGAUACCUUGAAGAUCUUCAACGAUGAUGGUAGCAGAUCGAUCGACGCUUCUUUCCCCAUCCAUGGCGAUUGACGAUUCAGAAAUCAAUUGAAGGUUCAGAAAUCAAAAUCAAAACCAGUAAAAACUGUAACGAUGGCUUGAAGAUCUUCGACGAUGACGGUAGCAAAUCGGGUUUGGAAACAAAAUCAAACCACGAAGUUUGAAACUCGUUAGAUCCAGGAAAGACUUCUCCUAUUCCUCACUCUUAAGGCUUCAGUGAGAAAAACGUUAAGUGAUAUUUGGGUUUCAAUUUGGCGAUUUCAGAAAUCUUUGGCCGAUUUGUGAUCAGAAUCGAAAGACAAUUAAACGGUAAAUAUAGUUUAAAGUUUUUAAUCAUUUGUUAAAAGUUAAUCUCAGAGUUUUAUUCACCAAAUAUAUUCAUGUAACAUUUGUUCUGGUUUUUGUUUCCGGUGAGAUUGGAAUGGUUUCCAAGAAUCCGACGAAGAAUCCGACGAAGUUCUGAAGCGGAACAUGUCAUUCUUCACUGGUAAAUAACAUAAUCUUAAAGUCUGUGAUACACCAAAUAUAUUCAUGUAACAUUUGUUCUGGUUUUUGUUUCCGGUGAGAUUGGAAUGGUUUCUAAGAAUCCGACGAAGAAUCCGACGAAGUUCUGAAGCGGAACAUGUCAUUCUUCACUGUUAAAAGUUUAAAGACACAUGUUUGUGCAGCUGAAGGACCAUGGGACAAAUACAUAACGCCAAAGCAAUACGAACCAAUAAUGUAGGUUUACUUAAAGUGCAAGAAAUGAGUCGAUGAUUUGGACAUGGCGAUUUUAAGAAUCUCCCUCAUACAUACGCCCAUAUAGAAGUCACUUUGAUAAAGGAUGAUCGGUUGAUCGGUACAUGCCAGUUGAAGGAGUGAGAGUGAAAUUCUGAAUGUGUCUCCAUGCUCCAACAGGAAGAAGGCGGCCUUUACUCUCCAUCUUCAUCGGAUAACACCAUCUCGAGGGUGUCCCCGUGCACUGGGUUGUACUGCUUCCAAGAGUGGAGAACCUUCACAUGUACUUUCCAGCCACUCUUGAAAGGUUUCACAUCUUUCAAAGGGGUAAUUUUCAUUGCCGCAGACAUUUUUUUGCUUUGCUAAUGUAGUUGUGAGUAAAUGUGAGAACGUUUAGGUACGUUGUAGGUGUUUAUAUAGCAUUAGGUAAAUCGAUGGUUAGGUAUGACGAUUAAAAAAUAUCUCUGGUAGAUUCUUAGUUCGAUAUAGGAAUUAUUUAGAGUAUUGAUCAAGCCAAGAUAUUUAGAAUCGAUAUUGUUUCCGUGAUAAUCUAUAAAUGUUAACAAUAUUUACAAUUCUGUUGUAUCAAGUAUCUUUUUAA